GACGUAGGGGGCCAGCGUUGCUCGGAAUUACUGGGCGUAAAGGGUUCGUAGGCGGUGUGGUAAGUCGGAAGUGAAAUCUCUGGGCUUAACCCAGAGGCUGCUUUCGAAACUGCCAUGCUAGAGUGCGGGAGAGGCGAGUGGAAUUGCAGGUGUAGCGGUGAAAUGCGUAGAUAUCUGCAGGAACACCCGUGGCGAAGGCGGCUCGCUGGACCGCAACUGACGCUGAGGAACGAAAGCUAGGGGAGCAAACAGGAUUAGAUACCCUGGUAGUCCUAGCCCUAAACCAUCAGGACUUGGGGUGGCCCGCGUUGGCGGGUCGUCCCGGAGCUAACGCGUUAAGUCCUGCGCCUGGGGAGUACGGUCGCAAGGCUGAA
rnacentral:rRNA from 1 species